UACGUAGGGCGCAAGCGUUGUCCGGAAUUAUUGGGCGUAAAGAGCUCGUAGGCGGUUUGUCGCGUCUGCUGUGAAAACCUAAGGCUCAACCUUGGGCUUGCAGUGGGUACGGGCAGACUAGAGUACGGUAGGGGUGACUGGAAUUCCUGGUGUAGCGGUGGAAUGCGCAGAUAUCAGGAGGAACACCGAUGGCGAAGGCAGGUCACUGGGCCGCAACUGACGCUGAGGAGCGAAAGCAUGGGGAGCGAACAGG
rnacentral:rRNA from 1 species